rnacentral:rRNA from 1 species
UACAGAGGUCUCAAGCGUUGUUCGGAUUCAUUUGGGCGUAAAGGGUGCGUAGGCGGCGCGGUAAGUCGGGUGUGAAAUCUUGGAGCUUAAACUCCGAAACUGCAUUCGAUACUGCCGUGCUUGAGGACUGGAGAGGAGACUGGAAUUUACGGUGUAGCGGUGAAAUGCGUAGAGUAUCGGAAGGAACACCAGUGGCGAAAAGCGACUUCCUGGUCCGAAAUACUGACGUUCAUGUGCGGAAAGCGUGGGGAGCAAACAGG